CACGUAGGGGGCAAGCGUUGUCCGGAAUCAUUGGGCGUAAAGAGCUCGUAGGCGGCUCGGUAAGUCGGGUGUGAAACCCCCAGGCUCAACCUGGGGACGCCACCCGAUACUGCUGUGGCUAGAGUCCAGUAGGGGAGUGUGGAAUUCCCGGUGUAGCGGUGAAAUGCGCAGAUAUCGGGAGGAACACCAGCGGCGAAGGCGGCACUCUGGGCUGGAACUGACGCUGAGGAGCGAAAGCGUGGGUAGCAAACAGA
rnacentral:rRNA from 1 species